CCCCAUCAUAAUGUGUAUUGAUCCGGUGCAAGCUUGGAUUUGAGGAACAUAUAUCUCCAUGACUCGAAGAAGAAUGACCUUAUGUUUAUGAACUCGGACAAGUUUAGUGACUUCCAGAUCAAAAUUUGCGAGCGAAGAACCAUGUUGGUAAUCAAGAAGGGGAAAUUCUCCUUAGCAAAUUGUUAUUUUCACAUUUUUUGGGUUUUGGGCUUUUAAUAUGAAGACGGAUCUUGUGUUUUAAUAUGAAAUUGUGUAGUCCCAAAUGUGUUUUAAAGUUUAAAAUGUAAUAAAAGAACUUUUUCCAGUUUUUUAGUUGUAAUAACUUUUACAUAUGGCUCCAAUUUUGAGAUUCAAAAGCAAUAUUUGACUAAACUAGAAAGUUAUACUGUU